rnacentral:tRNA from 1 species
GCCCAAAUGGUGGAAUUGGUAGACACGCUAGUUUCAGGGACUAGUGGACGCAAGUCUGUGCAGGUUCGAGUCCUGUUUUGGGUA